rnacentral:rRNA from 1 species
UUUAUUGAUAACUGGUAUGAAGGUUUAACUAGCUUAUUAAGUUUGUAAAAUUAAAUAAUAAAUUAAAGUUAAGGUAAGAAUUCUUUAAUUUCCUAGGGGACGAUAAGACCCUAGAAGCUUUAUAAAUAGGGUUCUUUUUGUUUUAGAGGUUUGUUUAUUUUACUGGGGCGGUAAAAAUAAUUAAGCUAUUUAUAGUUUGAGAGAUCCUUUAAAUAAAGAAAAAACGGAAAAGUUACUCUAGGGGUAACAGUGCAAUAUUUUUGGAUAGACCUUAUUGAUAAAUGUGUUUGCAACCUCGAUGUUGAAUUAAGAUGUCUUUAUGAAGCAGAAGGUAUAUAAGAAGGUUUGUUCAACCUUUAAAGUCUUACAUGAUCUGAGUUCAAACCGGA